UCACGAAAGUGGAUCGCACUAGAAGUCUGCACGCUGACCCGCAAGGGAGGCAGCGGCCCAAGGUAUGAUCCAUGAUUGGGGUG
rnacentral:rRNA from 1 species